UACGGAGGGUGCAAGCGUUAUCCGGAUUCACUGGGUUUAAAGGGUGCGUAGGUGGGAAUGUAAGUCAGUGGUGAAAUCUCCGUGCUUAACAUGGAAACUGCCAUUGAUACUAUGUUUCUUGAAUUUUCUGGAGGUCAGCGGAAUAUGUCAUGUAGCGGUGAAAUGCUUAGAUAUGACAUAGAACACCAAUUGCGAAGGCAGCUGGCUACAGGGAUAUUGACGCUGAGGCACGAAAGCGUGGGGAUCAAACAGG
rnacentral:rRNA from 1 species